rnacentral:rRNA from 1 species
GAGUUUGAUCCUGGCUCAGAACGUACGCUGGCGGCACGCCUAACACAUGCAAGUCGAACGAAGUAGCAAUACUUAGUGGCAGACGGGUGAGUAACAUGUAGGUAUCUGCCCUUUGGCCUGGAAUAACACGAGGAAACUUGUGCUAAUACCGGAUAAGUCUUUACGGAGAAAGCUUUAUGCACCAUUGGAUGAGCCUGCACUUGAUUAGUUUGUUGGUGGGGUAAUGGCCUACCAAGACUGUGAUCAAUAGCUGAUUUGAGAGGAUGAUCAGCCACAUUGGGACUGAGACACGGCCCAAACUCCUACGGGAGGCAGCAGUGGGGAAUCUUGCACAAUGGAGGAAACUCUGAUGCAGCGAUGCCGCGUGAGUGAAAGAGGCCCUUGGGUUGUAAAGCUCUUUCGUCGGGGAAGAAAAUGACUGUACCCGAAUAAGAAGGUCCGGCUAACUUCGUGCCAGCAGCCGCGGUAAUACGAAGGGACCUAGCGUAGUUCGGAAUUACUGGGCUUAAAGAGUUCGUAGGUGGUUGAAAAAGUUAGUGGUGAAAUCCCAGAGCUUAACUCUGGAACUGCCAUUAAAACUUUUCAGCUAGAGUAUGAUAGAGGAAAGCAGAAUUUCUAGUGUAGAGGUGAAAUUCGAGAUAUUAGAAAGGAUACCAAUUGCGAAGGCAGCUUUCUGGAUCAUUACUGACACUGAGGAACGAAAGCAUGGGUAGCGAAGAGGAUUAGAUACCCUCGUAGUCCAUGCCGUAAACGAUGUGUGUUAGACGUUGGAAAUUUAUUUUCAGUGUCGCAGGGAAACCGAUAAACACACCGCCUGGGGAGUACGACCGCAAGGUUAAAACUCAAAUGAAUUGACGGGGACCCGCACAAAUAGUGGAGCAUGUGGUUUAAUUCGAAGAUACGCGCAGAACCUUACCAACACUUGACAUGUUCGUCGCGACUCUAAGAGAUUAGAGUUUUCGGUUCGGCCGGACGAAACACAGGUGCUGCAUGGCUGUCGUCAGCUCGUGUCGUGAGAUGUUGGGUUAAGUCCCGCAACGAGCGCAACCCUCACUUUUAGUUGCCAUCAUUAAGUUGGGCACUCUGAAAGAACUGCCAGUGAUAAGCUGGAGGAAGGUGGGGAUGACGUCAAGUCCUCAUGGCCCUUACGUGUUGGGCAACACACGUGCUACAAUGGUAUCUACAACAGGAAGCAAGACUGCGAAGUUAAGCAAAUCCCUAAAAGAUACCUCAGUUCGGAUUGCACUCUGCAACUCGAGUGCAUGAAGCUGGAAUUACUAGUAAUCGUGGAUCAGCGUGCCACGGUGAAUGCGUUCCCGGGCCUUGUACACACCGCCCGUCACACCAUGGGAGUUGGUUCUACCUUAAGGCAAGGUUUCAAACCCUUGACCACGGUAUAGUCAGCGACUGGGGUGAAGUCGUAACAAGGUAACC